CCUACGGGGGGCAGCAGUGGGGGAUAUUGCACAAUGGGGGGAACCCUGAUGCAGCGACGCCGCGUGGGUGAAGAAGCGCCUCGGCGCGUAAAGCCCUGUCAGCAGGGAAGAAAAUGACGGUACCUGAAGAAGAAGCCCCGGCUAACUACGUGCCAGCAGCCGCGGGAAUACGUAGGGGGCAAGCGUUAUCCGGAUGUACUGGGUGUAAAGGGGGCGCAGACGGCGAUGCAAGCGAGGAGUGAAAGCCCGGGGCCCAACCCCGGGACUGCUCUUGGAACGGCGUGGCUGGAGUGCAGGAGGGGCAGGCGGAAUUCCUGGUGUAGCGGUGAAAUGCGUAGAUAUCAGGAGGAACACCGGUGGCGAAGGCGGCCUGCUGGACUGCAACUGACGUUGAGGCCCGAAAGCGUGGGGAGCAAACAGGAUUAGAUACCCCGGUAGUC
rnacentral:rRNA from 1 species